rnacentral:lncRNA from 1 species
GCGAUGGUUGCUGGCUGCUUGCUUUCUCUGAAGUCCGAGUUAAACAAGAACUUCUGAGAGUUUGCAAAACUCUGUGCACACUCGCUGCAGUUUCAAAAAAGGAAACAGCAACUGUACUUCAGUGAGAAAGGCCACAGAGGGCAAUUUCAACAACUGUCCUUGUCACUUGUGUGUCCUGUCUUGGACCACACACAUCGAACUUCUGACCCCUAACUGUCUUACCCCAUCUCAAAGUCAAAGUGAGCACAUUUCCAUUCCUUGGAGAGAAGGGCCUUAACAAAUUCGUCUUCAAUCUGCCAUAGAAGGAACAGAUAUUAUUUCUGUUGUGGUCUGUGGCAUUUUCUUUGCUUAGUAACAAUUUCCUGGACCGAGACUUUUCCAUAUGUGGGUAUAAUUGUUGCUUGUUAGCAUUCUGGAAACAGGAGUGAUGGGCGUUUAUGAAGAACAAAGGUUACAGAGCGUUAGGAACUCAGGCUCAAUUGCCUACCACUGAAAUGCUGAAAAGGUAUGUGAGAUGUCUUAAAAUUAGUGUGUGUGUCUGUGUG